rnacentral:rRNA from 1 species
ACUGCUCAGUAACACGUGGCUAAUCUGCCCUUGGGACCGGAACACCCCCGGGAAACUGGGGCUAAUUCUCGAUAGGUAAAGAACUCUGGAAUGAGUCUUUGCUUAAAAGACGUUUACGUUAUGCUCGUAGACGUCGCCCAAGGAUGAGGCCGCGACCGAUCAGGUUGUUGGUGAGGUAAUGGCUCACCAAGCCUUUUACCGGUGCGGGCCGUGAGAGCGGGAGCCCGGAGAUGGGCACUGAGACAAGGGCCCAGGCCCUACGGGGCGCAGCAGUCGCGAAAACUUUGCAAUACACGAAAGUGUGACAGGGCUAUCCCGAGUGCCAUCCGCUGAGGAAGGCUUUUACCCAGUCUAGAACGCUGGGGGAAUAAGGAGAGGGCAAGUCUGGUGUCAGCCGCCGCGGUAAUACCAGCUCUCCGAGUGGUGUGGAUGUUUAUUGGGCCUAAAGCAUCCGUAGCUGGCUGAGUUAGUCCCUUGUUAAAUCCACCGAAUUAAUCGUUGGAUUGCGGGGGAUACUGCUCGGCUAGGGGACGAGAGAGGCAGACGGUAUUUCCGGGGUAGGGGUGAAAUCCUAUAAUCCCGGGAAGACCACCAGUGGCGAAGGCUGUCUGCUAGAACGCGCCCGACGGUGAGGGAUGAAAGCUGGGGGAGCGAACCGGAUUAGAUACCCGGGUAGUCCCAGCUGUAAACGAUGCAGGCUAGGUGUUUGGACGGCCACGUGCCGUUCUAGUGCCGCAGGGAAGCUGUUAAGCCUGCCGCCUGGGGAGUACGAUCGCAAGAUUGAAACUUAAAGGAAUUGGCGGGGGAGCA